rnacentral:rRNA from 1 species
UACGUAGGGGACGAGCGUUGUCCGGAAUUACUGGGCGUAAAGCGCGCGUAGGUGGUUCAGUAAGAUGGGUGUGAAAUCCCCGGGCUCAACCUGGGAACUGCUUUCAUAACUGCUGAACUAGAGUACGGUAGAGGGUAGUGGAAUUUCCUGUGUAGCGGUGAAAUGCGUAGAUAUAGGAAGGAACACCAGUGGCGAAGGCGACUACCUGGACUGAUACUGACACUGAGGUGCGAAAGCGUGGGGAGCAAACAGGAUUAGAUACCCCCCGUAGUCCCUGA